GAAGAAGGGUGAGGGGAACCAGAGGGAGAGAAGAAGGGUGAGGGGAACUAGAGGGAGAGAAGAAGGGUGAGGGGAACCAGAGGGAGAGAAGAAGGGUGAGGGGAACCAGAGGGAGAGAGGCAAGCGAGUCAGGGAGAGAAGAAGGGAGAGGGGAACCAGAGGGAGAGAAGAAAGCUGAGGGGAACCAGAGGGAGAGAAGAAGGGUGAGGGGAACCAGAGGGAGAGAAGAAGGGUGAGGGGAAACAGAGGGAGAGAAGAAGGGUGAGGGGAACUAGAGGGAGAGGGGCAAGCGAGUCAGGGAGAGAAGGGUAAGGGGAACCAGAGGGAGAGAAGAAGGGUGAGGGGAACUAGAAGGAGAGAAGAAGGGAGAAGUUUCAGUGAGUGCAGCGUAGUGGGCGUGCUAGUGUGAAUAAGCGCAGUAUACAGGGUGCACUAGUGUGAGUAAGAACAGUAUACAGGGUGCACUAGUGUGAGUAAGAACAGUAUACAGGGUGCACUAGUGUGAGUAAGAACAGUAUAUAGGGUGCACUAGUGUGAGUAAGCGCAGUAUACAGGGGCACUAGUGUGAGUAAGAACAGUAUACAGGGUGCACUAGUGUGAGUAAGCGCAGUAUACAGGGGCACUAGUGUGAGUAAGAACAGUAUACAGGGUGCACUAGUGUGAGUAAGCGCAGUAUACAGGGGCACUAGUGUGAGUAAGAACAGUAUACAGGGUGCACUAGUGUGAGUAAGAACAGUAUACACCGUGCACUAGUGUGAGUAAGCGCAGUAUACAGGGUGCACUAGUGUGAGUAAGAACAGUAUAUAGGGUGCACUAGUGUGAGUAAGCGCAGUAUACAGGGGCCCUAGUGUGAGUAAGAACAGUAUACAGGGUGCACUAGUGUGAGUAAGAACAGUAUACAGGGUGCACUAGUGUGAGUAAGAACAGUAUACAGGAUGCACUAGUGUGAGUAAGAACAGUAUACAGGGUGCACUAGUGUGAGUAAGAACAGUAUACAGGGUGCACUAGUGUGAGUAAGAACAGUAUACAGGGUGCACUAGUGUGAGUAAGAACAGUAUACAGGGUUCACUAGUGUGAGUAAGAACAGUAUACAGGGUGCACUAGUGUGAGUAAGCACAGUAUACAGGGUGCACUAGUGUGAGUAAGAACAGUAUAUAGGGUGCACUAGUGUGAGUAAGCGCAGUAUACAGGGUGCACUAGUGUGAGUAAGCACAGUAUACAGGGUGCACUAGUGUGAGUAAGAACAGUAUAUAGGGUGCACUAGUGUGAGUAAGCGCAGUAUACAGGGGCACUAGUGUGAGUAAGAACAGUAUACAGGGUGCACUAGUGUGAAUAAGUGCAGUAUACACCGUGCACUAGUGUGAGUAAACACAGUAUACAGGGUGCACUAGUGUGAGUAAGCACAAUAUACAGGGUGCACUAGUGUGAGUAAGCACAAUAUACAGGGUCACUAGUGUGAAUGAGUGCAGUAUACAGGGUGCACUAGUGUGAGUAAGCAGAAUAUACAGGGGCACUAGUGUGAGUAAGCACAGUAUACAGGGGGCACUAGUGUGAGUAAGCAGAGUAUACAGGGACACUAGUCUGAGUAAGCACAGUAUACAAGGGCACUAGUGUGACUAAGUACAGUAUACAGGGGCACUAGUGUGAGUAAGCACAGUAUACAGGGGCACUAGUGUGAGUAAGUACAGUAUACAGGGGCACUAGUGUGAGUAAGCACAGUAUACAGGGACACUAGUGUGAGUAAGCACAGUAUACAGGGGCACUAGUGUGAGUAAGCACAGUAUACAGGAACACUAGUGUGAGUAAGCACAGUAUACAAGAGCACUAGUGUGAGUAAGUACAGUAUACAGGGGCACUAGUGUGAAUAAGCACAGUAUACAGGGGCACUAGUGUGAGUAAGUACAGUAUACAGGGGCACUAGUGUGAGUAAGUACAGUAAACAGGGGCUCUAGUGUAAGUAAGCACAGUAUACAGGGACACUAGUGUGAGUAAGCACAGUAUACAGGGGGCACUAGUGUGAGUAAGCAGAGUAUACAGGGGCACGAGUGUGAGUAAACACAGUAUACAAGGGCAUUAGUGUGAGUAAGCGCAGUAUACAGGGACACUAGUGUGAGUAAACACAGUAUACAAGGGCACUAGUGUGAGUAAGCAGAGUAUACAGGGGCACUAGUGUGAGUAAGUGCAGUAUACAGGGGCACUAGUGUGAGUAAGUGCAGUAUACAGGGGCACUAGUGUGAGUAAGCACAGUAUACAGGGACACUAGUGUGAGUAAGCACAGUAUACAAGGGCACUAGUGUGAGUAAGCAGAGUAUACAGGGGCACUAGUGUGAGUAAACACAGUAUACAAGGGCACUAGUGUGAGUAAGCGCAGUAUACAGGGACACUAGUGUGAGUAAACACAGUAUACAAGGGCACUAGUGUGAGUAAGCAGAGUAUACAGGGGCACUAGUGUGAGUAAGCACAGUAUACAAGGGCACUAGUGUGAGCAAGUGCAGUAUACAAGGGCACUAGUGUGAGUAAGCACAGUAUACAAGGGCACUAGUGUGAGUAAGCACAGUAUACAAGGGCACUAGUGUGAGUAAGCACGGUAUACAGGGGCACUAGUGUGAGUAAGCACAGUAUACAGGGGGCACUAGUGUGAGUAAGCAGAGUAUACAGGGAUGCUAGUGUGAGUAAGUGCAGUAUACAGGGGCACUAGUGUGAGUAAGCACAGUAUACAGGGGCACUAGUGUGAGUAAGCACAGUAUACAGGGACACUAGUGUGAGUAAGCACAGUAAACAAGGGCACUAGUGUGAGUAAGCAGAGUAUACAGGGGCACUAGUUUGAGUAAGCACAGUAUACAAGGGCACUAGUGUCAGUAAGUGCAGUAUACAGGGGCACUAGUGUGAGUAAGUGCAGUAUACAAGGGCACUAGUGUGAGUAAGCACAGUAUACAAGGGCACUAGUGUGAGUAAGUGCAGUAUACAGGGGCACUAGUGUGAGUAAGCACAGUAUACAGGGACACUAGUGUGAGUAAGCACAGUAUACAAGGGCACUAGUGUGAGUAAGCACAGUAUACAAGGGCACUAGUGUGAGUAAGUGCAGUAUACAGGGGCACUAGUGUGAGUAAGCACAGUAUACAGGGACACUAGUGUGAGUAAGCACAGUAUACAAGGGCACUAGUGUGAGUAAGCACAGUAUACAAGGGUACUAGUGUGAGUAAGCAUAGUAUACAGGGGCACUAGUGUGAGUAAGCACAGUAUACAGGGACACUAGUGUGAGUAAGCACAGUAUACAAGGGCACUAGUGUGAGUAAGCACAGUAUACAAGGGCACUAGUGUGAGUAAGUGCAGUAUACAGGGGCACUAGUGUGAGUAAGCACAGUAUACAGGGACACUAGUUUGAGUAAGCACAGUAUACAAGGGCACUAGUGUGAGUAAGCACAGUAUACAAGGGUACUAGUGUGAGUAAGCACAGUAUACAGGGGCACUAGUGUGAGUAAGCACAGUAUACAGGGACACUAGUGUGAGUAAGCACAGUAUACAAGGGCACUAGUGUGAGUAAGCACAGUAUACAGGGACGCUAGUGUGAGUAAGCACAGUAUACAAGGGCACUAGUGUGAGUAAGCACAGUAUACAAGGGCACCAGUGUGAGUAAGUGCAGUAUACAGGGACACUAGUGUGAGUAAGCACAGUGUACAAGGGUACUAGUGUGAGUAAGCACAGUAUACAGGGGCACUAGUGUGAGUAAGCACAGUAUACAGGGACACUAGUGUGAGUAAGCACAGUAUACAAGGGCACUAGUGUGAGUAAGCACAGUAUACAAGGGCACUAGUGUGAGUAAGUGCAGUAUACAGGGGCACUAGUGUAAAUAAGCAGAGUGUGCACAUUGCCUGGAUAUACAGUCAAUCUCAGGAAAGCAUAACACACCAGGAAGAGGCAGGAGUGGGCAGGGCAGAGAGACGCACCCUCGAUCAGGUCAGGCACAUAAGACAAUGCCACGAACCAGAAUCCCAUCCAGCCUGCUGACCCUGUGUCUGCAGAACAUUGCAGAAAACAUGCAGAGUGUGUGGGUGUCUGAUUACAGUGAGAAAUACAUAGAGGAAUACAGCUUCCUGUACAUAGAAGGGCCUUUCAACCAGCUGGGUGAGUGUGCUACUAGCUGUAACUGUCCCAAAGAUUGUGAGAUUGCCUCCAUGAUCCAUAUAGAGCGCUUAUAGUUAGAGGGGUCAUGUAAUAGGGCAGUGAUAGGUACAGGCAGUUAUAGGGUGAGGAAUCAUGUAAUAGGGCAGUUAUAGGGUGAGGGGUCAGGUAAUAGGGCAGUGAUAGGUACAGACAGUUAUAGGGUGAGGGGUCAUGUAAUAUGGCAGUGAUAGGUACAGACAGUUAUAGGGUGAGGAAUCAUGUAAUAGGGCAGUGAUAGGUACAGACAGUUAUAGGGUGAGGGGUCAUGUAAUAGGGCAGUGAUAGGUACAGACAGUUAUAGGGUGAGGGGGUCAUGUAAUAGGGCAGUGAUAGGUACAGACAGUUAUAGGGUGAGGGGUCAUGUAAUAGGGCAGUGAUAGGUACAGGCAGUUAUAGGGUGAGGGGUCAUGUUAUAGGGCAGUGAUAGGUACAGGCAGUUAUAGGGUGAGGGGUCAUGUAAUAGGGCAGUGAUAGGUACAGGGCAGUUAUAGGGUGAGGGGUCAUGUAAUAGGGCAGUGAUAGGUACAGACAGUUAUAGGGUGAGGGGUCAUGUAAUAGGGCAGUGAUAGGUACAGACAGUUAUAGGGUGAGGGGUCAUGUAAUAGGGCAGUGAUAGGUACAGGCAGUAAUAGGGUGAGGGUUCAUGUAAUAGGGCAGUGAUAGGUACAGGUAGCUAUACGGUGAGGGCUCACGUAAUAAGGCAGUGAUAGGUACAGACAGUUAUAGGGUGAGGGGUCAUGUAAUAGGGCAGUGAUAGGUACAGGCAGUUAUAGGGUGAGGGGUCAUGUAAUAGGGCAGUGAUAGGUACAGGCAUUUAUAGGGUGAGGGGUCAUGUAAUAGGGCAGUGAUAGGUACAGACAGUUAUAGGGUGAGGGGUCAUGUAAUAGGGCAGUGAUAGGUACAGGCAGUUAUAGGGUGAGGGGUUAUGUUAUAGGGCAGCGAUAGGUACAGGCAGUUAUAGGGUGAGGGGUCAUGUAAUAGGGCAAUGAUAGGUACAGUAUAGGGUGAGGGGUCAUGUAAUAGGGCAGUGAUAGGUACAGGUAGCUAUACGGUGAGGGCUCACGUAAUAAGGCAGUGAUAGGUACAGACAGUUAUAGGGUGAGGGGUCAUGUAAUAGGGCAGUGAUAGGUACAGGCAGUUAUAGGGUGAGGGGUCAUGUAAUAGGGCAGUGAUAGGUACAGGCAUUUAUAGGGUGAGGGGUCAUGUAAUAGGGCAGUGAUAGGUACAGACAGUUAUAGGGUGAGGGGUCAUGUAAUAGGGCAGUGAUAGGUACAGGCAGUUAUAGGGUGAGGGGUUAUGUUAUAGGGCAGCGAUAGGUACAGGCAGUUAUAGGGUGAGGGGUCAUGUAAUAGGGCAAUGAUAGGUACAGUUAUAGGGUGAGGGGUCAUGUAAUAGGGCAGUGAUAGGUACAGGCAGUUAUAGGGUGAGGGGUCAUGUAAUAGGGCAGUGAUAGGUACAGGCAUUUAUAGGGUGAGGGGUCAUGUAAUAGGGCAGUGAUAGGUACAGACAGUUAUAGGGUGAGGGGUCAUGUAAUAGGGCAGUGAUAGGUACAGGCAGUUAUAGGGUGAGGGGUUAUGUUAUAGGGCAGCGAUAGGUACAGGCAGUUAUAGGGUGAGGGGUCAUGUAAUAGGGCAGUGAUAGGUACAGGCAGUUAUAGGGUGAGGGGUCAUGUAAUAAGGCAGUGAUAGGUACAGGCAGUUAUAGGGUGAGGGGUCAUGUAAUAGGGCAGUGAUAGGUACAGACAGUUAUAGGGUGAGGGGUCAUGUAAUAGUGCAGUGAUAGGUACAGACAAUUAUAGGGUGAGGGGUCAUGUAAUAGGGAAAUGAUAGGUACAGACAGUUAUAGGGUGAGGGGUCAUGUAAUAGGGAAAUGAUAGGUACAGACAGUUAUAGGGUGAGGGUCAUGUAAUAGGGAAAUGAUAGGUACAGACAGUUAUAGGGUUAGGGGUCAUGUAAUAGGGCAGUGAUAGGUACAGACAGUUAUAGGGUUAGGGGUCAUGUAAUAGGGCAGUGAUAGGUACAGGCAGUUAUAGGGUGAGGAAUCAUGUAAUAGGGCAGUGAUAGGUACAGGCAGUUAUAGGGUGAGGGGUAAUGUAAUAGGGCAGUGAUAGGUACAGGCAGUUAUAGGGUGAGGAAUCAUGUAAUAGGGCAGUGAUAGGUACAGGCAGUUAUAGGGUGAGGGGUCAUGUAAUAGGGCAGUGAUAGUUACAAGUUAUAAGGUGAGGGGUCAUGUAAUAAGGCAGUGAUAGUUACAGACAGAUAUAGGGUGAGGGGUCAUGUAAUAGGGCAGUGAUAGGUACAGACAGUUAUAGGGUGAGGGGUCAUGUAAUAGGGCAGUGAUAGGUACAGGCAGUUAUAGGGUGAAGGGUCAUGUAAUAGGGCAGCGAUAGCGUGAGGGGUCAUGUAAUUGGGCAGUGAUAGGUACAGGCAGUUAUAGGGUGAGGGGUCAUGUAAUAGGGCAGUGAUAGGUACAGGCAGUUAUAGGGUGAGGGGUCAUGUAAUAGGGCAGUGAUAGGUACAGGCAGUUAUAGGGUGAGGGGUCAUGUAAUAGGGCAGUGAUAGGUACAGGCAGUUAUAGGGUGAGGGGUCAUGUAAUAGGGCAGUGAUAGGUACAGGCAGUUAUAGGGUGAGGGGUCAUGUAAUAGGGCAGUGAUAGGUACAGGCAGUUAUAGGGUGAGGGGGUCAUGUAAUAGGGCAGUGAUAGGGUGAGGGGUCAUGUAAUAGGGCAGUGAUAGGGUGAGGGGUCAUGUAAUAGGGCAGUGAUAGGUGCAGGCAGUUAUAGGGUGAGGGGUCAUGUAAUAGGGCAGUGAUAAGUACAGACAGUUAUAGGGUGAGGGGUCAUGUAAUAGGGCAGUGAUAGUUACAGACAGAUAUAGGGUGAGGGGUCAUGUAAUAGGGCAGUGAUAGGGUGAGGGGUCAUGUAAUAGUGCAGUGAUAGGUACAGGCAGUUAUAGGGUGAGGGGUCAUGUAAUAGGGCAGCGAUAGGGUGAGGGGUCAUGUAAUAGGGCAGUGAUAGGUACAGGCAGUUAUAGGGUGAGGGGUCAUGUAAUAGGGCAGUGAUAAGUACAGACAGCUAUAGGGUGAGGGGUCAUGUAAUAGGGCAGUGAUAGUUACAAGUUAUAAGGUGAGGGGUCAUGUAAUAAGGCAGUGAUAGUUACAGACAGAUAUAGGGUGAGGGGUCAUGUAAUAGGGCAGUGAUAGGGUGAGGGGUCAUGUAAUAGUGCAGUGAUAGGUACAGGCAGUUAUAGGGUGAGGGGUCAUGUAAUAGGGCAGCGAUAGGUUGAGGGGUCAUGUAAUAGGGCAGUGAUAGGUACAGGCAGUUAUAGGGUGAGGGGUCAUGUAAUAAGGCAGUGAUAGGUACAGGCAGUUAUAGGGUGAGGGGUCAUGUAAUAGGGCAGUGAUAGGUACAGACAGUUAUAGGGUGAGGGGUCAUGUAAUAGUGCAGUGAUAGGUACAGACAGUUAUAGGGUGAGGGGUCAUGUAAUAGGGAAAUGAUAGGUACAGACAGUUAUAGGGUGAGGGGUCAUGUAAUAGGGAAAUGAUAGGUACAGACAGUUAUAGGGUGAGGGUCAUGUAAUAGGGAAAUGAUAGGUACAGACAGUUAUAGGGUUAGGGGUCAUGUAAUAGGGCAGUGAUAGGUACAGGCAGUUAUAGGGUGAGGAAUCAUGUAAUAGGGCAGUGAAAGGUACAGGCAGUUAUAGGGUGAGGGGUAAUGUAAUAGGGCAGUGAUAGGUACAGGCAGUUAUAGGGUGAGGUAUCAUGUAAUAGGGCAGUGAUAGGUACAGGCAGUUAUAGGGUGAGGGGUCAUGUAAUAGGGCAGUGAUAGUUACAAGUUAUAAGGUGAGGGGUCAUGUAAUAAGGCAGUGAUAGUUACAGACAGAUAUAGGGUGAGGGGUCAUGUAAUAGGGCAGUGAUAGGUACAGACAGUUAUAGGGUGAGGGGUCAUUUAAUAGGGUAGUGAUAGGUACAGGCAGUUAUAGGGUGAAGGGUCAUGUAAUAGGGCAGCGAUAGGGUGAGGGGUCAUGUAAUAGGGCAGUGAUAGGUACAGGCAGUUAUAGGGUGAGGGGUCAUGUAAUAGGGCAGUGAUAGGUACAGGCAGUUAUAGGGUGAGGGGUCAUGUAAUAGGGCAGUGAUAGGUACAGGCAGUUAUAGGGUGAGGGGUCAUGUAAUAGGGCAGUGAUAGGUACAGGCAGUUAUAGGGUGAGGGGUCAUGUAAUAGGGCAGUGAUAGGUACAGGCAGUUAUAGGGUGAGGGGUCAUGUAAUAGGGCAGUGAUAGGUACAGGCAGUUAUAGGGUGAGGGGGUCAUGUAAUAGGGCAGUGAUAGGGUGAGGGGUCAUGUAAUAGGGCAGUGAUAGGGUGAGGGGUCAUGUAAUAGGGCAGUGAUAGGUACAGGCAGUUAUAGGGUGAGGGGUCAUGUAAUAGGGCAGUGAUAAGUACAGACAGUUAUAGGGUGAGGGGUCAUGUAAUAGGGCAGUGAUAGUUACAGACAGAUAUAGGGUGAGGGGUCAUGUAAUAGGGCAGUGAUAGGGUGAGGGGUCAUGUAAUAGUGCAGUGAUAGGUACAGGCAGUUAUAGGGUGAGGUAUCAUGUAAUAGGGCAGUGAUAGGUACAGGCAGUUAUAGGGUGAGGGGUCAUGUAAUAGGGCAGUGAUAGUUACAAGUUAUAAGGUGAGGGGUCAUGUAAUAAGGCAGUGAUAGUUACAGACAGAUAUAGGGUGAGGGGUCAUGUAAUAGGGCAGUGAUAGGUACAGGCAGUUAUAGGGUGAGGUAUCAUGUAAUAGGGCAGUGAAAGGUACAGGCAGUUAUAGGGUGAGGGGUCAUGUAAUAGGGCAGUGAUAGUUACAAGUUAUAAGGUGAGGGGUCAUGUAAUAAGGCAGUGAUAGUUACAGACAGAUAUAGGGUGAGGGGUCAUGUAAUAGGGCAGUGAUAGGUACAGACAGUUAUAGGGUGAGGGGUCAUGUAAUAGGGUAGUGAUAGGUACAGGCAGUUAUAGGGUGAAGGGUCAUGUAAUAGGGCAGCGAUAGGGUGAGGGGUCAUGUAAUAGGGCAGUGAUAGGUACAGGCAGUUAUAGGGUGAGGGGUCAUGUAAUAGGGCAGUGAUAGGUACAGGCAGUUAUAGGGUGAGGGGUCAUGUAAUAGGGCAGUGAUAGGUACAGGCAGUUAUAGGGUGAGGGGUCAUGUAAUAGGGCAGUGAUAGGUACAGGCAGUUAUAGGGUGAGGGGUCAUGUAAUAGGGCAGUGAUAGGUACAGGCAGUUAUAGGGUGAGGGGUCAUGUAAUAGGGCAGUGAUAGGUACAGGCAGUUAUAGGGUGAGGGGGUCAUGUAAUAGGGCAGUGAUAGGGUGAGGGGUCAUGUAAUAGGGCAGUGAUAGGGUAAGGGGUCAUGUAAUAGGGCAGUGAUAGGUGCAGGCAGUUAUAGGGUGAGGGGUCAUGUAAUAGGGCAGUGAUAAGUACAGACAGUUAUAGGGUGAGGGGUCAUGUAAUAGGGCAGUGAUAGUUACAGACAGAUAUAGGGUGAGGGGUCAUGUAAUAGGGCAGUGAUAGGGUGAGGGGUCAUGUAAUAGUGCAGUGAUAGGUACAGGCAGUUAUAGGGUGAGGGGUCAUGUAAUAGGGCAGCGAUAGGGUGAGGGGUCAUGUAAUAGGGCAGUGAUAGGUACAGGCAGUUAUAGGGUGAGGGGUCAUGUAAUAGGGCAGUGAUAAGUACAGACAGUUAUAGGGUGAGGGGUCAUGUAAUAGGGCAGUGAUAGUUACAAGUUAUAAGGUGAGGGGUCAUGUAAUAAGGCAGUGAUAGUUACAGACAGAUAUAGGGUGAGGGGUCAUGUAAUAGGGCAGUGAUAGGGUGAGGGGUCAUGUAAUAGUGCAGUGAUAGGUACAGGCAGUUAUAGGGUGAGGGGUCAUGUAAUAGGGCAGCGAUAGGGUGAGGGGUCAUGUAAUAGGGCAGUAAUAGGUACAGGCAGUUAUAGGGUGAGGGGUCAUGUAAUAGGGCAGUGAUAGGUACAGGCAGUUAUAGGGUGAGGGGUCAUGUAAUAGGGCAGUGAUAGGUACAGGGCAGUUAUAGGGUGAGGGGUCAUGUAAUAGGGCAGUGAUAGGUACAGGCAGUUAUAGGGUGAGGGGUCAUGUUAUAGGGCAGUGAUAGGUACAGGCAGUUAUAGGGUGAGGGGUCAUGUAAUAGGGCAGUGAUAGGUACAGGCAGUUAUAGGGUGAGGAAUCAUGUAAUAGGGCAGUGAUAGGUACAGACAGUUAUAGGGUGAGGGGUCAUGUAAUAGGGCAGUGAUAGUUACAGACAGAUAUAGGGUGAGGGGUCAUGUAAUAGGGCAGUGAUAGGGUGAGGGGUCAUGUAAUAGUGCAGUGAUAGGUACAGGCAGUUAUAGGGUGAGGGGUCAUGUAAUAGGGCAGCGAUAGGGUGAGGGGUCAUGUAAUAGGGCAGUGAUAGGUACAGGCAGUUAUAGGGUGAGGGGUCAUGUAAUAGGGCAGUGAUAAGUACAGACAGUUAUAGGGUGAGGGGUCAUGUAAUAGGGCAGUGAUAGUUACAAGUUAUAAUGUGAGGGGUCAUGUAAUAAGGCAGUGAUAGUUACAGACAGAUAUAGGGUGAGGGGUCAUGUAAUAGGGCAGUGAUAGGGUGAGGGGUCAUGUAAUAGUGCAGUGAUAGGUACAGGCAGUUAUAGGGUGAGGGGUCAUGUAAUAGGGCAGCGAUAGGGUGAGGGGUCAUGUAAUAGGGCAGUGAUAGGUACAGGCAGUUAUAGGGUGAGGGGUCAUGUAAUAGGGCAGUGAUAGGUACAGGCAGUUAUAGGGUGAGGGGUCAUGUAAUAGGGCAGUGAUAGGUACAGGGCAGUUAUAGGGUGAGGGGUCAUGUAAUAGGGCAGUAAUAGGUACAGGCAGUUAUAGGGUGAGGGGUCAUGUUAUAGGGCAGUGAUAGGUACAGGCAGUUAUAGGGUGAGGGGUCAUGUAAUAGGGCAGUGAUAGGUACAGGCAGUUAUAGGGUGAGGAAUCAUGUAAUAGGGCAGUGAUAGGUACAGGCAGUUAUAGGGUGAGGGGUCAUGUAAUAGGGCAGUGAUAGGUACAGGCAGUUAUAGGGUGAGGGGUCAUGUAAUAGGGCAGUGAUAGAUACAGACAGUUAUAGGGUGAGGGGUCAUGUAAUAGGGCAGUGAUAGGUACAGGCAGUUAUAGGGUGAGGAAUCAUGUAAUAGGGCAGUGAUAGGUACAGGCAGUUAUAGGGUGAGGGGUCAUGUAAUAGGGCAGUGAUAGGUACAGACAGUUAUAGGGUGAGGGGUCAUGUAAUAGGGCAGUGAUAGGUACAGACAGUUAUAGGGUGAGGGGUCAUGUAAUAGGGCAGUGAUAGGUACAGACAGUUAUAGAGUGAGGGGUCAUGUAAUAGGGCAGUGAUAGGUACAGGCAGUUAUAGGGUGAGGGGUCAUGUAAUAGGGCAGUGAUAGGUACAGGCAGUUAUAGGGUGAGGGGUCAUGUAAUAGGGCAGUGAUAGGUACAGGCAGUUAUAGGGUGAGGGGUCAUGUAAUAGGGCAGUGAUAGGUACAGACAGUUAUAGGGUGAGGGGUCAUGUAAUAGGGCAGUGAUAGGUACAGGCAGUUAUAGGGUGAGGGGUCAUGUAAUAGGGCAGUGAUAGGUACAGGCAGUUAUAGGGUGAGGGGGUCAUGUAAUAGGGCAGUGAUAGGGUGAGGGGUCAUGUAAUAGGGCAGUGAUAGGGUGAGGGGUCAUGUAAUAGGGCAGUGAUAGGUGCAGGCAGUUAUAGGGUGAGGGGUCAUGUAAUAGGGCAGUGAUAAGUACAGACAGUUAUAGGGUGAGGGGUCAUGUAAUAGGGCAGUGAUAGUUACAAGUUAUAAGGUGAGGGGUCAUGUAAUAAGGCAGUGAUAGUUACAGACAGAUAUAGGGUGAGGGGUCAUGUAAUAGGGCAGUGAUAGGUACAGGCAGUUAUAGGGUGAGGUAUCAUGUAAUAGGGCAGUGAUAGGUACAGGCAGUUAUAGGGUGAGGGGUCAUGUAAUAGGGCAGUGAUAGUUACAAGUUAUAAGGUGAGGGGUCAUGUAAUAAGGCAGUGAUAGUUACAGACAGAUAUAGGGUGAGGGGUCAUGUAAUAGGGCAGUGAUAGGUACAGACAGUUAUAGGGUGAGGGGUCAUGUAAUAGGGUAGUGAUAGGUACAGGCAGUUAUAGGGUGAAGGGUCAUGUAAUAGGGCAGCGAUAGGGUGAGGGGUCAUGUAAUAGGGCAGUGAUAGGUACAGGCAGUUAUAGGGUGAGGGGUCAUGUAAUAGGGCAGUGAUAGGUACAGGCAGUUAUAGGGUGAGGGGUCAUGUAAUAGGGCAGUGAUAGGUACAGGCAGUUAUAGGGUGAGGGGUCAUGUAAUAGGGCAGUGAUAGGUACAGGCAGUUAUAGGGUGAGGGGUCAUGUAAUAGGGCAGUGAUAGGUACAGGCAGUUA